GAUGAACGCUGGCGGCGUGCCUAAUACAUGCAAGUCGAGCGAACAGACGAGGAGCUUGCUCCUCUGACGUUAGCGGCGGACGGGUGAGUAACACGUGGAUAACCUACCUAUUAGACUGGGAUAACUUCGGGAAACCGGAGCUAAUACCGGAUAAUAUAUUGAACCGCAUGGUUCAAUAGUGAAAGACGGUUUUGCUGUCACUUAUAGAUGGAUCCGCGCCGCAUUAGCUAGUUGGUAAGGUAACGGCUUACCAAGGCAACGAUGCGUAGCCGACCUGAGAGGGUGAUCGGCCACACUGGAACUGAGACACGGUCCAGACUCCUACGGGAGGCAGCAGUAGGGAAUCUUCCGCAAUGGGCGAAAGCCUGACGGAGCAACGCCGCGUGAGUGAUGAAGGUCUUCGGAUCGUAAAACUCUGUUAUUAGGGAAGAACAAAUGUGUAAGUAACUAUGCACGUCUUGACGGUACCUAAUCAGAAAGCCACGGCUAACUACGUG
rnacentral:rRNA from 1 species